UAUGUACUCCCUCCGUCCCAAAAUACUUGUCGAAGAAAUAGAUAAAAAUGGAUGUAUCUAGAACUAAAAUACGUCUAGAUACGUCCAUUUCUUCGACAAGUAUUUCCGCACGGAGGGAGUAUGUA
rfam:Triticum aestivum genome assembly, contig: Triticum_aestivum_CS42_TGACv1_scaffold_213894_3AS